rnacentral:rRNA from 1 species
AGAGUUUGAUUCUGGCUCAGGAUGAACGCUAGCUACAGGCUUAACACAUGCAAGUCGAGGGGUAGCAGGGUAGCAAUACCGCUGACGACCGGCGCACGGGUGAGUAACACGUAUCCAACCUUCCCAUAACUCAGGGAUAGCCUUUCGAAAGAAAGAUUAAUACCUGAUAGUACUUUUUCAAGGCAUCUUGAGAAAGUUAAAGAUUUAUUGGUUAUGGAUGGGGAUGCGUUCCAUUAGAUAGUUGGUGAGGUAACGGCUCACCAAGUCUUCGAUGGAUAGGGGUUCUGAGAGGAAGGUCCCCACAUUGGUACUGAGACACGGACCAAACUCCUACGGGAGGCAGCAGUGAGGAAUAUUGGUCAAUGGGCGAGAGCCUGAACCAGCCAAGUAGCGUGAAGGAUGAAGGUCCUAUGGAUUGUAAACUUCUUUUAUAGUAGAAUAAAGUGAUCCACGUGUGGAUUUUUGUAUGUAUACUAUGAAUAAGGAUCGGCUAACUCCGUGCCAGCCGCAGC